CUCGCAAUAACGUUGAUAUCUAUCAUUUUAUACAUGUUGUGUAAAUUUUAAUGUAUAAUAAAUAAUAAUGCAGCCAGCCAGGGUUACUAAAUUUGGAGCUUAUGUGUACGAAGAUGGCUCAAAAUACAUCGGAGACUGGAACGAUCGAGGUCGAAAACAUGGUUUGGGACACGUCCAAUUAAAAGACAAUACACGUUAUGAAGGAGGAUUCAGCAAUGGACUUUGCUCAGGUCUUGGAGUUCUCCAGUAUCCGGACGGAGCAAGAUAUGAAGGAGAAUUUAUGGAAGGAUGGUUUCAUGGUCACGGAAUGUUUUGGAGGGCUGAUGGCAUGAAGUACGAAGGCCAAUUUCGAGGUGGUCGUAUUUGGGGAUUAGGUUUAGUGACUUUUAAGGACGGAUCUCACGGACUUCCAAGAUACGAAGGAUUUUUCAAAGAUUGCAAAUUUGUACAAAAAAAAAAAUGUCCAGGAGUCGUUACAGAUGCACAACGAGCAGCGUUAAUGGCAAGAAUACAAACUGAACAAACAUAAUUUUCACUGUGCAUACUGCAUAGUGGAGAGAAUAAUAAAAAAAUUGAUCUCGCAAAAUAAAUUAAUUACAAAAAAAAAAAAAUUCUGAUAUUAAAACAAUACUACAUACCUACGUGUUGCCUGCGUCUUACAAACCUGUACAACAUGUCAACAUCACAUAUUUUACGUUCACAAUAAUUUAUUUUAUUCUGUAAUUUCUACAACUAGAGUGAAUUGACUAAAAAAGUUUUUAUUGUUAUUUUUAUUAUGAAGCAAGUUA
rnacentral:misc_RNA from 1 species